CCACCUCUACUACAACAAACAAAAACAAAAAAUAACAAAAAUAAUCCUUAUUAAACGUAUCUAUCUUUAACCUAUCUGAAAAUAAGACAGAUUACCUAUCGAAACUUCACAAUGAGUCCAUCAUCAACAUCAAUUUCUCUUGUUGUUAUUCUAAUUAUUAUCUCCUCCUUAUCGUUUUCGAAUUCGUCUUCAUUGAAACCCGUGCAUAGUUUAGAAGCUAAUCAAGUUAAAUGUAGAGAUAUAAAUAGACAUAUGAAAUCUUGUAUAGAAUGGACAAUAAGUGGUUACAAGAAUAGUAAGGUUCCUCCAAAGGCUUGUUGCAAUCAAAUAUUUAAACUUAAUACUAUGGGAAAAGACUCACAAGCAGAAGUAGCUAUUUGUGAAUGUAUUAAGGCAGGAUUACAAGAUCCACAUAUCAAUGCAAAAGCAGCUGAAUCACUUACUUGGGGUUGUCAAGUUCUCUUGUCUUUCCCUACCACACCAAAAGUCAAUUGUUCUGAGAUAACCGCUCCAAAUACCAAAUUUUGAGGCUUGGAGUGAUUAAUUUGGAGAAACAACAAGAUGUAAUAUUUUAUAUUACAAAUAGAGUUUAGUAUAUGUAGAUUGAUUUGUCUAUAGGAUACAUAAUGUCCUAGACAAUCAUUAUAGGAUCUAUGGAGUAUUCGGUUAGGACUUUGUAUUAGUUGUAAAAAAAUUCAAUAAACUUUGUGUGUUUACAUAUUUCAA